rnacentral:rRNA from 1 species
UACGAAGGGGGCGAGCGUUGUUCGGAUUUACUGGGCGUAAAGGGCGCGUAGGCGGCCUUGUCAGUCAGGCGUGAAAGCCCCGGGCUCAACCUGGGAACGGCGCUUGGGACGGCGAGGCUGGAGUUCGGGAGAGGAGAGUGGAAUUCCCAGUGUAGAGGUGAAAUUCGUAGAUAUUGGGAAGAACACCGGUGGCGAAGGCGGCUCUCUGGACCGACACUGACGCUGAGGAGCGAAAGCCAGGGGAGCAAACGGG